rnacentral:rRNA from 1 species
AACCUUCUGUUGAAAGGAUAUUGACUGUUUACCAAAGACAUAGCCCUUUCAAUAAUAAAAGGUGUCACCUGCCCAAUGGCUUACGAGUGUAAAANUAACCAUACUUUAAGUAAGCUUAAAGGACGCGGUAUUCUGACCGUGGUAAUGUAGCAUAAUCAUUCGCCAUUUAAUUGAUGGAUAGUAUGAAUGGUUAAACGAAUACAGCACUGUCUUAAAAGGAAUUCUUAUGAAAUUAGAAUAAUAGUUAAGAUACUAUUUAAAACUGUAAGACGAAAAGACCCUAUAGAGCUUCACUAUAACUCUUUGCUGUUCUAUAAAUUUAUUUACACCGUUAAAGAGAUAGGUAGUUUAGUUGGGGCGACUGCUUUCUAAAACUAACGAAAGCAAGCAAUAUUAAUAAAUUAAUUUACUGUCUAAUCCAUACAUUUAACAGUUAUAAACAUAGGCUAUAAUGACCCGUUGUUAAUUAGUAAUCAUAACAACGAUCAAUAAAUAAAAGCUACCUUAGGGAUAACAGGAUAAUCUUGUUUUAGAGACCUCAUCGAAAACAAGGUUUGUCACCUCUAUGUUGAAUUAAGACAUCCAAGAAGUGCAGCAGCUUCUAAGGGUAGGUCUGUUCGACCUAUAAUGUCUUACAUGAUUUGAGUUCAUUCCGUCGCAAGACAGGAAGGUUUCUAUC